rnacentral:rRNA from 1 species
UGGGGAAUAUUGGACAAUGGGCGAAAGCCUGAUCCAGCCAUGCCGCAUGAGUGAAGCAGGCCUUUGGGUUGUAAAGCUCUUUUAGUGAGGAAGAUAAUGACGGUACUCACAGAAGAAGUCCUGGCUAACUCCGUGCCAGCAGCCGCGGUAAUACGGAGAGGGCUAGCGUUAUUCGGAAUUAUUGGGCGUAAAGGGCGCGUAGGCUGGUUAAUAAGUUAAAAGUGAAAUCCCGAGGCUUAACCUUGGAAUUGCUUUUAAAACUAUUAAUCUAGAGAUUGAAAGAGGAUAGAGGAAUUCCUGAUGUAGAGGUAAAAUUCGUAAAUAUUAGGAGGAACACCGGUGGCGAAGGCGUCUAUCUGGUUCAAAUCUGACGCUGAAGCGCGAAGGCGUGGGGAGCAAACA